rnacentral:rRNA from 1 species
GAUGAACGCUGGCGGCGUGCCUAAUACAUGCAAGUCGAGCGAGUAUACCUUGAGCAUCGUCCUCUUUGCAUACCGGGAAACAAGUUACUGACAAGCGGCGGACGGAUGAGUAACACGUGGGUAACUUCCGCAAAAGAUAGGGAAUACACCUGAAAAUAGUUGACAAUACGGUUUAACAAUAGAAGAUGCCUUUCACCUGAUUAAAAGAUGGUUCUGCUCUCCAUCUUGUAUGGCGCUGCGUUGCAUUAGCUAGUUGGUAGGGUAACGGCCUACCAAGGCGACGAUGCAUAGCCGACUUGAGAGACUGAUCGGCCACAUUGGAACUGAGACACGGCCCAGACUCCUACGGGAGGCAGCAGUAGGGAAUCUUCCACAAUGGACGAAAGCCUGAUGGAGCAACGCCGCGUGAGUGAAGAAGGUCUUCGGCUCGUAAAGCUCUGUUGUUAGGGAAGAAGGACAGGGGUAGUAACUGAGCUUUGUUUGACGGUAAUCAAUGAGAAAGUCACGGCUAACUACGUG